rnacentral:tRNA from 1 species
GCACUGGUGGUUCAGUGGUAGAAUUUUCACCUUCCGUGCAGGAGACCCGGGUUGGAUUCCCAGCCAGUGCA